ACCUGCAGGUGGUGGAGCUUCCAACGGCACAUCCUCGAAGAAACGGAAACUUUCAUAACGGAAGUUGCACCUAACCCCUAUGAUUCUUCCACCCCUCUUACCCAGACAGGGACAGCGAGGCAUGUUUCCAUAAGCGUCACUUAAGCAACUGAAGCAACUCUGACGAGAUAAAUCAGGAGUACAUUGCACAAGUGCAUAUAUAGCCUGAAAAUCUGGACCUGUCGCAUUACCACUAGCAUAUUUUUGAAGAGGACCAUCAUCUACAGCACGAUCUCGUAAAUUUUCCAAUAAUCUCCCUAGCUCCUGGUUAAAUUCCUCGGGUUUUGUGGCAUUCGCAGGAUUCCUAAAGUAAUAUUUAAGAGAAAAUGAUAUAGUUUCUAAAAUGGAUUGAUUUGAAUACUGUAACAUACAUCCAUCAUAGCCACCGAAAACUUCUUUUUGGUUAGGACAUAACUGUGCAAUCUUUUGAACAACAUUAUCGACACAAACGCGACAAUCGUCUAGCUCCACAUCUCCUCUACAUAACACAAUAACGCUGGCUCUAUCAGAGUUUUGGCCAAUAGAAGCAUUGUAGAAACCAUAGUUGUCUAUUUUUGAGGAAAGGGAAGUGAGGAGUGUGUUUAGAUUGUUCUUGUAGGUACUAUUCUCAGUAUAGUUACCAUUGCCACCACAUGAACCAAAUCGUAAAUCAGGCAGCUGCGCUACAAUAUUGAGAACAUGUAUAUGCAAAAACAGAAUGAGUAGCCACUUUUGAAUAGCCAUGGCUAUUUCUGUUUUAAGUUACAAGCAAAUUUUGAUAUCAGUGCUGAAUAUGUAAAAUAGAACCUAGAACAGGAAGAGCUUGUAAAAAGAGUUGGAGACAAAAGUAUUGACCGGGGUGUAGUCAACUACAUUUGUCUUGGCAGUACAAUUUCUGACUUAUUAGUUAAGCAAGAAAAGGAUAUUCAUAUUUAAAGGCUAGCUGCAAAACUAACACUCGGUUGGAUUGGAUUCAAAUUUUAAAAGAAAAAGAGCUUUUAAAAUUAUUUGUAAUAAUCUUAAAUAUGCUGUAACAUUUAUCUUGUAUAAUAAAAGUAUGAUUGUUAAAGUAUAAAAUGAAAUUAUUUUUAGAUACAAAAUAUAAGAAAAUACUAUCAAAUUUCUUUUAAACAAACUGUAGUUCUUUUGAAAUAAUGUCACGUACAAUGGAAUUAAUAAGGAAUAGUACCAACAUUUGACUUGGUCUAUAUCUUUUGGUUGAAUAAUUGACUUUUAAGGGUGCAUUUGUGAAUAUUUUUGAAAAAUAUCUUUUGCAGAGAAAUAAUUAGGAAGAAAAUGUCUUUUCUUUAAGGAAAAAUCAAGUUCUACGAAUGAUACUUUAUAUAGAUUUUGUCAUUUUCACCCUUCAAUAUAUCUCAUAUUUAUCCCAUCCUGCACCUAUCUGCCCACAACACGGUCCUUACGUCAGAUAUCAUUUGUUUUAAAUUAUAUAUAAAUAUUUUUGAAAUGAUAUUUACUUAUACACGAAACACAAAAUAAUAAUUAAAAACUCAUUUAUUUUUUUUAAUAAUAUUUCAGCACAAAAUAGUUCCAUUCAUACCAAACAUACCAUAGAUCAAUUAAUGGAAUUUCUACGGCUCUAAUUUAUGGCAGUGAUGUGACAUGAGUAGAUAAUAACAAGCCAUCAAGGUGGGAAAAUAAUAACUAUAUUCUUCGAUCUUCUAGGUGAAGUUGAAAGUUACUCCCUUCGUCUCCGCUUCGUUUUAGUUAUUAUAAUAAGGAUUUAACACACUUCUAAGAAAAAAUUAAUAAUAAAAUGUUAUAUAUAUACACAAGCCAUCAAGGUGGGAAAAUAAUAACUAUAUUCUUCGAUCUUCUAGGUGAAGUUGAAAGUUACUCCCUUCGUCUCCGCUUCGUUUUAGUUAUUAUAAUAAGGAUUUAACACACUUCUAAGAAAAAAUUAAUAAUAAAAUGUUAUAUAUAUACACAAGCCAUCAAGGUGGGAAAAUAAUAACUAUAUUCUUCGAUCUUCUAGGUGAAGUUGAAAGUUACUCCCUUCGUCUCCGCUUCGUUUUAGUUAUUAUAAUAAGGAUUUAACACACUUCUAAGAAAAAAUUAAUAAUAAAAUGUUAUAUAUAUACACAAGCCAUCAAGGUGGGAAAAUAAUAACUAUAUUCUUCGAUCUUCUAGGUGAAGUUGAAAGUUACUCCCUUCGUCUCCGCUUCGUUUUAGUUAUUAUAAUAAGGAUUUAACACACUUCUAAGAAAAAAUUAAUAAUAAAAUGUUAUAUAUAUACACAAGCCAUCAAGGUGGGAAAAUAAUAACUAUAUUCUUCGAUCUUCUAGGUGAAGUUGAAAGUUACUCCCUUCGUCUCCGCUUCGUUUUAGUUAUUAUAAUAAGGAUUUAACACACUUCUAAGAAAAAAUUAAUAAUAAAAUGUUAUAUAUAUACACAAGCCAUCAAGGUGGGAAAAUAAUAACUAUAUUCUUCGAUCUUCUAGGUGAAGUUGAAAGUUACUCCCUUCGUCUCCGCUUCGUUUUAGUUAUUAUAAUAAGGAUUUAACACACUUCUAAGAAAAAAUUAAUAAUAAAAUGUUAUAUAUAUACACAAGCCAUCAAGGUGGGAAAAUAAUAACUAUAUUCUUCGAUCUUCUAGGUGAAGUUGAAAGUUACUCCCUUCGUCUCCGCUUCGUUUUAGUUAUUAUAAUAAGGAUUUAACACACUUCUAAGAAAAAAUUAAUAAUAAAAUGUUAUAUAUAUACACAAGCCAUCAAGGUGGGAAAAUAAUAACUAUAUUCUUCGAUCUUCUAGGUGAAGUUGAAAGUUACUCCCUUCGUCUCCGCUUCGUUUUAGUUAUUAUAAUAAGGAUUUAACACACUUCUAAGAAAAAAUUAAUAAUAAAAUGUUAUAUAUAUACACAAGCCAUCAAGGUGGGAAAAUAAUAACUAUAUUCUUCGAUCUUCUAGGUGAAGUUGAAAGUUACUCCCUUCGUCUCCGCUUCGUUUUAGUUAUUAUAAUAAGGAUUUAACACACUUCUAAGAAAAAAUUAAUAAUAAAAUGUUAUAUAUAUACACAAGCCAUCAAGGUGGGAAAAUAAUAACUAUAUUCUUCGAUCUUCUAGGUGAAGUUGAAAGUUACUCCCUUCGUCUCCGCUUCGUUUUAGUUAUUAUAAUAAGGAUUUAACACACUUCUAAGAAAAAAUUAAUAAUAAAAUGUUAUAUAUAUACACAAGCCAUCAAGGUGGGAAAAUAAUAACUAUAUUCUUCGAUCUUCUAGGUGAAGUUGAAAGUUACUCCCUUCGUCUCCGCUUCGUUUUAGUUAUUAUAAUAAGGAUUUAACACACUUCUAAGAAAAAAUUAAUAAUAAAAUGUUAUAUAUAUACACAAGCCAUCAAGGUGGGAAAAUAAUAACUAUAUUCUUCGAUCUUCUAGGUGAAGUUGAAAGUUACUCCCUUCGUCUCCGCUUCGUUUUAGUUAUUAUAAUAAGGAUUUAACACACUUCUAAGAAAAAAUUAAUAAUAAAAUGUUAUAUAUAUACACAAGCCAUCAAGGUGGGAAAAUAAUAACUAUAUUCUUCGAUCUUCUAGGUGAAGUUGAAAGUUACUCCCUUCGUCUCCGCUUCGUUUUAGUUAUUAUAAUAAGGAUUUAACACACUUCUAAGAAAAAAUUAAUAAUAAAAUGUUAUAUAUAUACACAAGCCAUCAAGGUGGGAAAAUAAUAACUAUAUUCUUCGAUCUUCUAGGUGAAGUUGAAAGUUACUCCCUUCGUCUCCGCUUCGUUUUAGUUAUUAUAAUAAGGAUUUAACACACUUCUAAGAAAAAAUUAAUAAUAAAAUGUUAUAUAUAUACACAAGCCAUCAAGGUGGGAAAAUAAUAACUAUAUUCUUCGAUCUUCUAGGUGAAGUUGAAAGUUACUCCCUUCGUCUCCGCUUCGUUUUAGUUAUUAUAAUAAGGAUUUAACACACUUCUAAGAAAAAAUUAAUAAUAAAAUGUUAUAUAUAUACACAAGCCAUCAAGGUGGGAAAAUAAUAACUAUAUUCUUCGAUCUUCUAGGUGAAGUUGAAAGUUACUCCCUUCGUCUCCGCUUCGUUUUAGUUAUUAUAAUAAGGAUUUAACACACUUCUAAGAAAAAAUUAAUAAUAAAAUGUUAUAUAUAUACACAAGCCAUCAAGGUGGGAAAAUAAUAACUAUAUUCUUCGAUCUUCUAGGUGAAGUUGAAAGUUACUCCCUUCGUCUCCGCUUCGUUUUAGUUAUUAUAAUAAGGAUUUAACACACUUCUAAGAAAAAAUUAAUAAUAAAAUGUUAUAUAUAUACACAAGCCAUCAAGGUGGGAAAAUAAUAACUAUAUUCUUCGAUCUUCUAGGUGAAGUUGAAAGUUACUCCCUUCGUCUCCGCUUCGUUUUAGUUAUUAUAAUAAGGAUUUAACACACUUCUAAGAAAAAAUUAAUAAUAAAAUGUUAUAUAUAUACACAAGCCAUCAAGGUGGGAAAAUAAUAACUAUAUUCUUCGAUCUUCUAGGUGAAGUUGAAAGUUACUCCCUUCGUCUCCGCUUCGUUUUAGUUAUUAUAAUAAGGAUUUAACACACUUCUAAGAAAAAAUUAAUAAUAAAAUGUUAUAUAUAUACACAAGCCAUCAAGGUGGGAAAAUAAUAACUAUAUUCUUCGAUCUUCUAGGUGAAGUUGAAAGUUACUCCCUUCGUCUCCGCUUCGUUUUAGUUAUUAUAAUAAGGAUUUAACACACUUCUAAGAAAAAAUUAAUAAUAAAAUGUUAUAUAUAUACACAAGCCAUCAAGGUGGGAAAAUAAUAACUAUAUUCUUCGAUCUUCUAGGUGAAGUUGAAAGUUACUCCCUUCGUCUCCGCUUCGUUUUAGUUAUUAUAAUAAGGAUUUAACACACUUCUAAGAAAAAAUUAAUAAUAAAAUGUUAUAUAUAUACACAAGCCAUCAAGGUGGGAAAAUAAUAACUAUAUUCUUCGAUCUUCUAGGUGAAGUUGAAAGUUACUCCCUUCGUCUCCGCUUCGUUUUAGUUAUUAUAAUAAGGAUUUAACACACUUCUAAGAAAAAAUUAAUAAUAAAAUGUUAUAUAUAUACACAAGCCAUCAAGGUGGGAAAAUAAUAACUAUAUUCUUCGAUCUUCUAGGUGAAGUUGAAAGUUACUCCCUUCGUCUCCGCUUCGUUUUAGUUAUUAUAAUAAGGAUUUAACACACUUCUAAGAAAAAAUUAAUAAUAAAAUGUUAUAUAUAUACACAAGCCAUCAAGGUGGGAAAAUAAUAACUAUAUUCUUCGAUCUUCUAGGUGAAGUUGAAAGUUACUCCCUUCGUCUCCGCUUCGUUUUAGUUAUUAUAAUAAGGAUUUAACACACUUCUAAGAAAAAAUUAAUAAUAAAAUGUUAUAUAUAUACACAAGCCAUCAAGGUGGGAAAAUAAUAACUAUAUUCUUCGAUCUUCUAGGUGAAGUUGAAAGUUACUCCCUUCGUCUCCGCUUCGUUUUAGUUAUUAUAAUAAGGAUUUAACACACUUCUAAGAAAAAAUUAAUAAUAAAAUGUUAUAUAUAUACACAAGCCAUCAAGGUGGGAAAAUAAUAACUAUAUUCUUCGAUCUUCUAGGUGAAGUUGAAAGUUACUCCCUUCGUCUCCGCUUCGUUUUAGUUAUUAUAAUAAGGAUUUAACACACUUCUAAGAAAAAAUUAAUAAUAAAAUGUUAUAUAUAUACACAAGCCAUCAAGGUGGGAAAAUAAUAACUAUAUUCUUCGAUCUUCUAGGUGAAGUUGAAAGUUACUCCCUUCGUCUCCGCUUCGUUUUAGUUAUUAUAAUAAGGAUUUAACACACUUCUAAGAAAAAAUUAAUAAUAAAAUGUUAUAUAUAUACACAAGCCAUCAAGGUGGGAAAAUAAUAACUAUAUUCUUCGAUCUUCUAGGUGAAGUUGAAAGUUACUCCCUUCGUCUCCGCUUCGUUUUAGUUAUUAUAAUAAGGAUUUAACACACUUCUAAGAAAAAAUUAAUAAUAAAAUGUUAUAUAUAUACACAAGCCAUCAAGGUGGGAAAAUAAUAACUAUAUUCUUCGAUCUUCUAGGUGAAGUUGAAAGUUACUCCCUUCGUCUCCGCUUCGUUUUAGUUAUUAUAAUAAGGAUUUAACACACUUCUAAGAAAAAAUUAAUAAUAAAAUGUUAUAUAUAUACACAAGCCAUCAAGGUGGGAAAAUAAUAACUAUAUUCUUCGAUCUUCUAGGUGAAGUUGAAAGUUACUCCCUUCGUCUCCGCUUCGUUUUAGUUAUUAUAAUAAGGAUUUAACACACUUCUAAGAAAAAAUUAAUAAUAAAAUGUUAUAUAUAUACACAAGCCAUCAAGGUGGGAAAAUAAUAACUAUAUUCUUCGAUCUUCUAGGUGAAGUUGAAAGUUACUCCCUUCGUCUCCGCUUCGUUUUAGUUAUUAUAAUAAGGAUUUAACACACUUCUAAGAAAAAAUUAAUAAUAAAAUGUUAUAUAUAUACACAAGCCAUCAAGGUGGGAAAAUAAUAACUAUAUUCUUCGAUCUUCUAGGUGAAAUUAAAAAAUAAUUUUUGAGUAUACAUGACAAUUAAAAAAGAUGGAAAUAGUAUUGAUUAAUUUAUAUAUUUUAUUUGUUUACUAUUAUUUUCAUAAAUAACCACUAUAACAAACUAAAUUAUGUUCCAUAGCAAUAGUUUGCAUGUUUGCAUAAUUAGCGGGUACAGUUGUAUAGUUAAGCUAUUUUUGUAUAAAUUCGAAAUAACUAAUUUAUACAAAUACAAACAUCUGAAUUUUAAACAGUUAUAUGAAUUAUAUUAUACAAAAUUACAUUAUACAAAAGCUAUACAAAUUUCGAAUUAUACAAACUCAAAAUCCUAACCCGUGUAAUUAUCAUUGAAUAUUGAUCGCGAGUGAUAAUUAACUAAAACUAUAGAUAUGAUGACUAAUUAACUAAUAUAUGUUUACUUAAUCAUCUAAAUUUUUCAUUAAAGAAAGUAUGAGUCAUCUAUAAACUUGAUGUAUAAUUAAUGGGCGAUGUCAAAUUCCUUAAUCUAUUAGUCAAUUAUUAUCAACUAUAUACACCUAUAUCUUACAAGAUUUUAAAAAUAUAUUUAUUUUAUUUUUAAAGAGUUCACGGUAGUAAUAAGACCAUCCUAAGGUAUAAAUUACUUUUUUAACAAAUAUUUGAACAAUGCUAAUAAAUUAUGGUUGUCGAUAUUAUUAUAAUUUUUUUUUUUGCCAAACAUGCCAUCCAUGAUAUUUUGCUAAAUGUUUGCUCAGUUAGAAUUAUUUUUUUUAUUAAUUCAACUAAGCCAGUAUUAUUUAUUUUAAAACUUUAAUUUUACAAAUUGUUACGAAUCUGUAAUUAUUCAGAAUUUCAGCUUACCCGUCUCAAUAAAUAGGGGUAAAAAUACAUUUCCAUUACUAUUGAAAAACUACACCACUUUUACAAGUUCAAUAAGUAAUACUUAUGACACAAAUUAGUCCAACAACAAAAGAAUCAUUGAUAAAUCAAUCGCAAGAACCCCUAACUAAUUGGGUUCGAACAAAUAGCAAAGUAAAUAAGAAAAUCUAUCAAGUAACAACAUAUUCGCAUUCGGGGUUCACACCAGACCUAUAAAUGAAUGAUACACGUUUGGAUAUAUUUAGAGAGACUUUUAGCACUAUAUGUAUGGAUGUUUUAUCGAGGAUGCAACUCAGUUAUCAAAUCCUGAUUUCCUGAAGAACAUAUUGAUUUAUUUUCGGAAAUUGUUGAAUUGAAAUCUCCAAAGUGUAAAAUCUGUGGGUUUACUUCGUUGUGUGGAACUGGAAGACUCAAAGAGUGACUACUGAGCAUGAGAAGUACUUCACCCAUGUUUGGUCUAUUAGCAACAUUUUCUUGAACGCACAAUAAAGCAAUGUGGAUGUAUCUCACUAUGUCACCAACAGGUCCUGAGCUUCCCCUCAGCAUAGGGUCUAUCAAAUUUGAAACUGUUUCUUCGCGCCAGUUCAACCAAGCCUGUGAUAGAUCAGGACACACAAAAUCAUAAAUUAUACUACCUCUGAUUCACAUGAUGCAUUACGUUCCUCUUGAGAAAGAUAUUUGAUGGCAAUGUUUAUAUAUACAAAGUGUUGGUCUAAAUAGCAAUUAAUUUUUCUUUUGAUUGUGUCGAUUAGUAAACUAGUUUGGAAUUGAUCGAGGAAUACUUAAUUGAUUGGUUGACCAGCUAGUUACUUACAACGCUCAGAAGGUCUUCCACAGAAUCUCCUUUUCUGGAACAAAUGUUUCGUUGACCGCUUAUAAUUUCCAGGACUAGUACUCCAAAGCUAUAAACAUCUGAUUUCACUGAAAAUUGCCCCUGCAUUGCAUACUCUGGUGCCAUAUACCCACUGCAAAAUCAAAACAAAAAUUGCCUGACUUAAUUCUCUAACAUGGUAGUUAGGCACGAUUGGAGAAAGAUUUGAUGUGUAAAAUCUUCUUACGACAAAGGGGUGUGUCAAAGGAAGAUUCGUCAUAAGUUGAGAGAGGGGACAAAAUAUGUAUUAAGCCAAAGUUAUAUGACCAUUCAUCUCGACUUAUACUACUUUUAGGGACAAUCAAGUUAGCUCAACCAAAUUGAGGUAACCAUUUCUCAAGUCCUGGUAACAUUUCAAGGAAAAAUUUGUUUUAAUAUCGAGGUUUUUAUUUGCUAAAAAUGAUUAAAGAAUGCUUCGUAUAAUGAUACAAAAAAUAACAGUCUAUCUAGUGAGAGAUGUUAAACUUACUAAGUCCCAACAAUUCUGUUUGUGUUGCCUUGUGUUUCAUCCAAUGUAAAUAGUCUUGCCAUGCCAAAGUCUGCAAUUUUAGGAUUCAUCUCUGCAUCAAGUAGAACAUUACCAGCUUUGAGAUCGCGAUGAAUGAUGCGAAGUCUAGAAUCCUAAUGAAGGUAAACAAUUCCCCUAGCUAUGCCUCCUAUGAUUUUGGAUCGCCUUUCCCAAUCCAGUUGGCUACGUUUAACUUGAUCUGGAGAUAAGAGGAAGAAUAUAACUUAUUAUGAUUGCCUUUCCCAAUUCAUAGUUGUGAACUUAGUUUUCCGGAACUAAAAUAAGGCAGAUAACCGGACUACAGUCAACAUGUCAAAUUACACUGACAAAACAUUAAGCAAUACAUACCAAAUAAAAAUUGGUUAAGGCUUGCAUUGGGAACAAAUUCAUAGACAAGAAGUCUCUCUGUUCCAUCCAGGCAAAAUCCAGUAACCUAACCAAAUUCCUGUGCUGAAGCCUGGCAACCAACAAGACCUCGUUUUUGAACUCUAGAUCACCUUGGCCUGAAUCUGCUGACAAUCUUUUCACUGCUACUUCUUGUCCAUUUUGAAGCUUACCCUGAAACAUAAUACGAGAGCAAAUUGAAGAAUCAAUUAUUAUAAGCUCAUCAACAACGAAUCCUCAACCCCAAGCUAAGUUGUGGUUUUGUGGUAUGAAUUGUCAAUGUCCAUUUUAUGCAUCAAGCAAGUCUAAUCACCUUAUACACAGGACCAAAUCCACCCUGUCCCAAUUUAUUAGCAUUUGAGAAGUUGUCUGUUGCUUCUCUAAUUAUAGAAAAAUCAUACUGCAAGGAUUCUACAUCGCUAAUAUCAUCCCCGAGUGUACCUUCACCAAAGUAGUAGUAAUAACAAAUAGAGUAUAUAGUGAAAAUUCAACUUUCCUUAAUCAUAUAAAUACUAUACGCUAUCUUACCUUGAAUUUUGUCCACCAGCUUCCUCUUUCGCUUCUUCAUUAAGAUGACAGAAAUACAUACAGCAAGAAUAACAACUAUAACAGUUGGCACAAUGAUAAUAAUGACGAGUCGAGCUUUUUUAUCAUCCUGCACUAUUGGAACUGUAUUAUCAUUCCCUGUUGGAGCCGUUUCAUUACCAUUCCCCAUUGGAGCUGUUUUAUCAUCAUUUCCUUAAGAAAAUGCUUCAAGUUAGUAUAAAAUUCUCGGUUUUUAACAACUCAUGUGAAAAUAAGUUACUAUCUUCCCUUUUCAGGUUAUUUCAGAAACUAUAGAUACUUAUUAAAUAUCACAAAUACAAUAUUGUUAUACCUCUAAUUUAAUAUGCUCGUCUUUAACACAAAUCAAAAUUUUGUUUUAUGAUUCUGAUGAACUGUGUGAUCCUCCCAUCUAAAGUUUUAAGUUAUUAGACGCCAAGAACAAUUACUUCAGUUCCACACAUGUCGGGAAAAAACUUAAAUUAUUGUACUUAGAGAUGACAUAUUUUAUUCACCUUAUUAUGUUUCAAUACAUCGAUUCUUUUUUCAUGUGUAUAGCUAAUUCUUUUUAUGUGUUUUCAAUACAUCGAUUCAUUAUUCAUGUGUAUGUCUAAUUCUUUUUAUGUGUCUGCUCUUCUGUCAUAUUUAAUAUUUGCAACCAUCUCGUCUAUAGGUUUGAUUAAAUUAAAUUGUUAAAUAAGGUAACUAAACUUUAUAGUAUCUACUUAGGUACAUAUGUCUUCAAAUGAAAGUGGAAAAAUAUAAUUUACCUGCAGGUGGCGGAGCUUCCAACGGCACAUCAACGAAGAAACGGGAAAUUUCAUAACGGAAGUUGCACCUAGGCCCAAUUAUUCUUCCACCCGUCUUUCCCAGGCAAGGACAUUGAGGCAUGGUUCCAUAAGCGUCAGUUAAGCAAUUGAAGCAAUUCAGGGGAGAUAAAUCAGGAGUACACUGCACAAGUGCAUAUAUAGUCUGAUCAUCUGGACCUGUCACAUUACCACUAGCAUAUUUUCGAAAGGGACCACCAUUUACAGCACGGUCUCGUAAAUUUUCCAGUAAUUUACCCAGUUCCUGGUUAAAUUCCUCGGGUUUUGAGGCAUUCGCUGGAUUCCAAAGAAAGUAUCGUAUAGACAACGAUUGAGUAUUUAUAAUGGAUUGAUUCGAGUAAUGCAACAAGCAUCCAUCAUAGCCACCAAUAACUUCUUUUUGGGUAGGACAUAACUGUACAAGUUUUUGAGCAGCGUUAUGGACACAACUGCGACAAUCGUCUAGCUCCACAUCUCCUCUACAUAGCACAAUACCACUGACCUGGUCGGUGUUUUGGCCAAUGGAAUCAUAGUAGAAACCAUAGUUAUCUAUUUUUGAGGAAAGGGAAGUGAGGAGUGUGUUUAGAUUGUUCUUGUAGGUACUAUUCUCAGUAUAGUUACCAUUCCUACCACAUGAACCGUAUCGUAAAUCAGGCACCUGCGCUACAAUAUUGAGAACAUGUAUAUACAAAAACAGAAAGAGUAGCACCUCCUGAAUACCCAUGGUCAUGGUUGUCUAAGUUGCAUUUCCAUCUCUAGAAGCUUAGAUAUUUUGAGAUCAAAGGUAAAAUGAGUUGGCUUUUAUUUUUUCUUUUGGUUUACAAAAAGAUGCGUCACGUCAUUAAAGGUAGUCCUACCUAAUACUCAUCCGUCCAACAAUAAUUGUCCACUAUUAAUUUGGGACAGAAAUUAAGAAACAGUAAAUCAUGAUAUGAAUAAUUUUACCAAAUCACCUAUAUUAAAUAUAAGUCAUUUAAAUAUUAAAAAAUGAACAACAUUUAAAAGUAAAGAUAAAAUAGACACAAAAAAUAAAUUAUUCAUAAACUUUAUAAACUAAACCAGUACUGUUACACAUAUAUCACUUUCUGCAAAAGAUAAAACUUCUGAUGACUUGGUCUGUAUCUUUGUACUUGCCAAAUUUUUCUCGUUAGAAUUUAUGAAAUUCGUACUCUAAUUUAUGGAGAUAAUGGGAAUUGGGACAGGAGUGGAUACCAAGACGCCACCAAGGUUGCAAAUUUUGACCGCCACUUGCUCAUCAACUUUAUAUGAUUACUCCAGAAAAUGAAGUCCAACUAAUUUUCUACAAGUACCAUAUUUUCCUUUUUUUCCUAGUCUUUUAAAUUUUAAUCCACAAUGAUUUCUUUAGAAUUUUGGCUUUCCAGAUUCCUUGUACUGCAGUUAUCUUUAUAUCUUGACUGAUUCAUAGUGAUUAAUUCACAAAGCAAUUUGUACUUCUGUAGGUAUUUGGACAUAAUAUAAAUAGCUGAUAUUUUUUCAACGUGCUUGAAGUGAAUGACUUGUUUGGUAAAUUUCUAGAAUCAAUUGUUUUUUUUCAAAAAAAAAAAAAUAAUAAUUUAAAAGUGUUUUCAUAAAAAAGUAAUUUUGAUAAGAAGACAAAAAUCACGUUUGAACAAUAAUUAAUGUUUAACCAAACUUUUAUAUGUGUUUUAUGUAUACUAGUUCUAAAAACGUGUGUUGCACGUUUAUCCCAAAUUACUUCAUAUAAAUUUUAUAUUGCAAAUGACAUAUUUUAUCCCCUUCAAAUCUAUUGGUAUUUACAAAAAAAAAAAAAAAUCAUCCUUUUUUCUAAACUAAAGAUCAAAAGCUGAACCAAGCUCAUUGAUGUAAAGAUUCAAUGUUUUCUGAAUUUUGACCUCUGACUGAGUAAAUACAAUGAGGAACUUCCUAAACAUCUCAAGUAUCUCAUUAUCAGACCAUUAAAAACUCUUGAAAAUUCCAUUUUUUCUGUUCACGGUAGAUUUUUUUCCGAGGCUGAUGUAUGGAAUUCAUAAGGGAACAUAGGAGAGGUGAGCGGAACUCGCUCUCUACCCUAUGCAAAAUUUAUAUUAAAGAACGAAUGAAAGCAUUAAGACUGACCACUUAAAAACCAUUUGUAUCUUUGUAGAUGAAGUUGGAGUAUAUAUAAUUUUAUCGAUGGAAACUCUUCAGAUUCUUUAACUUAAAAUUAAAUAAGAGGAGUUGUUUUGAAAUGCUCGGACUUCAACUUACUUCAAGGUAUUUCAUUCCCUGUUGGAGCCGUUUCAUUACCAUUCCCCAUUGGAGCUGUUUUAUCAUCAUUUCCUUAAGAAAAUGCUUCAAGUUAGUAUAAAAUUCUCGGUUUUUAACAACUCAUGUGAAAAUAAGUUACUAUCUUCCCUUUUCAGGUUAUUUCAGAAACUAUAGAUACUUAUUAAAUAUCACAAAUACAAUAUUGUUAUACCUCUAAUUUAAUGUGCUCGUCUUAAACACAAAUCAAAAUUUUGUGUUAUGAUGGCAAUGAACUGUGUGAUCCUUCCAUCUAAAGUUUUAAGUUAUUAGACGACAAGAACAAUGUAAUGACCCUAAAGGUCAUUUUUUGGAAAUUUUCAUAAAAUGACCGUUUUACCCCUCCCGAUAGUUGCCCCGAGUCCUAAUUGUUGUAUUUCCGAAGUUGGUUUGGAGGAAAAUUGAUGAAAAGUUGAGUUUUUGGAAAGUUGAGUUUUUAAUAAUUGAAAUUUGGUUAAAAGUGCUAUUUCGAGUCAUUUGGAGUUUCGAGACUCGAAUCGGAUUUCCGUCGAUUCCAGCAGUUUUAGAAUGUCGAAACGGGUCUAUGAGAAUUUACGGAGUCGAAUUUGGAGUUAAAACGAAGAUUUGAGGUCCUAAGUUGCUAAAAUUGUGAAAUUUUGAUCAAGAGUUGACUUUGGUCAACAAACGAGGUUCCGGUGCUCGAAAUGGAAUUCCAAGGGCACCGUUGGAUUCAGGGGGUGAUUCUAAGUCUAGAAUGAGUCUUGGUUGAAUUUUUAGAGGCCCCGAGUGCAUUUCGAGUUUUUGAGCCUAAAGUUAGUUUCUUGACGCCUUAUCGGAUACCGGAUCAAGGAGACCUCGAAUUCAAAUUUCGACGAUUUCAUUGACUCCGAAAUGUCAUUUUCAAACUGGUAGCAUAUUUGGUUUGUGUUCGGGAAGUGUCAAAUGAGUUUUGGGUGAGCUUUUAAGCUUCUUGGAUGCUUUGACACUAUUUCAGCAAAUUGUGGCAACUAAAGGGUUCAUUAUUAGUUUUAAAGGUCGAAAUCUUUUCCCAAAGGUUCUGAAAUUUUGAGCAUGAAUUACAGGACUUAUCUGCAAAUUUUGGUGCAUUAUCGCUAAUCCGAGAUUGAACUUUUAUCGCAAAUAAGAAAUAAUUGUUUACCGAGUAGAAAUGAUAUUUGACUGGGCAAACGAGCAUGAAAUUGAGCUCCGAUUGAACGAGCAGGUCCGUAUCAUUAUUUAAGACAUUUACAAAAAAGAAUCGGGUCAUUUCACUAUCGUAUGAGGAAAUUACGGCCUUUUUAGUGAAGGAUUUAACUGCUGUUUUUCUGGUGCAUAACAGUCAUGCACUGUUAUAAAAAUCUCAGACUGUGUUCAUUUGGUAUUUUGAGCAUAUCGGGAGUUCUAGAGAUCGGAAUGGAGUGAUUCUUACGGGUUUCUUCUUGAAUUAAUAUGAGGGUUAGUAUUCAAUCUUAAAUUCGACAUUUUCUCAUAAUUUCUUUAUCUGGUUUUAUUUUCCCUAUCCGUAAACCUCUUGGAAAAAAUUGGGGUUUUAUCGAUUUGGACUCCCUUUUUGAUGAAAAAGGUAUAUUUACGAUCCUUAUGUUAUGGGUAAACUGAUUUUAACAUAAAAUUAUUGAUUCAUCGAUUAUUUUCAUCAUAUUAACCGCGUACAAUUUGGACUUUCCCGGUAAAGUUAAAGUUUGAUAAAUUGAGAAUUUCAAGGUCGAUCUUAACUCCGUUUUUGAUGAAAUUUCAUAUUUGAACUUAUCUAAGCAUGGGUAAGAUGUUUUUCAAGAAAUAUUUCAUUUUCGAGUCGGGGUUUCGGAUCCAAAUAUUUUAGGCUUCUUCAAGAACGUGGAUUUUCCUUCAAAUUGAGUUUGUGAACUCAUUUCAACUCCUUUUUCGAAACGGUUUUCACUAUUGGAUUCUAAAUUUCUUGGGGAACAUUUUUCACUAAAAAUUUCCAGAUUUCGAGAAUAUUUUCCGGAACGAGAUUUUUGACCAUUUUACCCUUGUUCUCCAAAUUUCACGAUAUUGGUGUUGUUAGAUUCGUAUUUAUUGUGGGAUUCCAUUUAUGAAUAGAUUGUGGUGAUUUGGAGCGUGCUCGGAAGGGUAAAACUCAAAUUUGAGUUACUAGUUGAAGUGUUUUGAGGCAAGUGACUUCUAAACUUUGUUAAACUCUUAGACUACGCAUGACUACUUUCCUAAUUGUGUUGGGGAGUAAGGGGGAUUGAGGAUGGGUUUUAUUUGUUGAUUGGAAUUGUUGUAAAUGAAAGAUGGGGAAAUAAAACGAGCUAAAUGUGUUAUAUGUGACUUGAAUUUGUUGAAUAAGUCAUGUGAUAACUCAUAUUGAGGGGAUAGAAGAGCAUGAGUAGGCUAUGAUUGAUACAGACAUUGAUGUUGAAACAGAUGAUGUGUAAUACUAUGAUGUGGUCGUGAUAUGGUUGUGAUUGAAACAGAUGAUGUGUAAUACUAUGAUGUGGUCGUGAUAUGGUUGUGAUUGAAACAGAUGAUGUGUAAUACUAUGAUGUGGUCGUGAUAUGGUUGUGAUUGAAACAGAUGAUGUGUAAUACUAUGAUGUGGUCGUGAUAUGGUUGUGAUUGAAACAGAUGAUGUGUAAUACUAUGAUGUGGUCGUGAUAUGGUUGUGAUUGAAACAGAUGAUGUGUAAUACUAUGAUGUGGUCGUGAUAUGGUUGUGAUUGAAACAGAUGAUGUGUAAUACUAUGAUGUGGUCGUGAUAUGGUUGUGAUUGAAACAGAUGAUGUGUAAUACUAUGAUGUGGUCGUGAUAUGGUUGUGAUUGAAACAGAUGAUGUGUAAUACUAUGAUGUGGUCGUGAUAUGGUUGUGAUUGAAACAGAUGAUGUGUAAUACUAUGAUGUGGUCGUGAUAUGGUUGUGAUUGAGACAGAUGAUGUGUAAUACUAUGAUGUGAUCGUGAUAUGAUUGUGAUUGAUGACAUGUGCAUAUUCAUUAUUCAUCCCAUGUGUGAACUAUCUGUUGCAUGAGUUCUGAGACACUGAUAUGAGGAUGGAUGGAUAUGAGACACAGUUGAAACUAGCUCCGACUAGAGAUAUAUGAGAUGGACUAGCUCCGGCUAGCGAUUUGGAUGCCGAUGGGAUCUGGUUCCGGCGGUGAUACAUGGUCCAUGUGUGGCCCCCAUGGGUUCUGAUUUGAGUAUUCAGCGCGGACUGAUUACGUCAACAGAUGUGUAUCGUAGGACAGACAUGCAUCACGACUACAUGACAUCAUUAUUGCAUUUGCAUCGCAUUUCACUUCAUCUUUGUCUGUGGUGUGUGGAUUUUACCUAUUUGCCCCUCUUCAUGUGAUAUAUGAUCUAUUUGCUCUUAUAUGAGGAUAUGAGGUUGAUUUUGAGACACUGUUGGAUAUAUAUGUUGAUUAUGAAUUGUGUAGUAUUUUUUUUAUAACCAAGUCUUCCGCUUAUUUAUUAUCUCUUAUUCUCGUAUUUCUAUUUCUCUAUCGUUGUGGUUGAGUUAGGCUGACGUGUCCGGUGGGAAAUGGACACGUGCCAUCACAUCCGGAUUUGGGAUGUGACAAACAAUUUCUUCAAUUCCACACAUGUCGGGAAAAAACUUAAAUUAUUGUACUUAGAGAUGACAUAUUUUAUUCACCUUAUUAUGUUUCAAUACAUCGAUUCAUUAUUCAUGUGUAUGUCUAAUUCUUUUUAUGUGUCUGCUCUUCUGUCAUAUUUAAUAUUUGCAACCAUCUCGUCUAUAGGUUUGAUUAAAUUAAAUUGUUAAAUAAGGUAACUAAACUUUAUAGUAUCUACUUAGGUACAUAUGUCUUCAAAUGAAAGUGGAAAAAUAUAAUUUACCUGCAGGUGGCGGAGCUUCCAACGGCACAUCAACGAAGAAACGGGACUUAGGUACACAUGUCUUCAAAUGAAAGUGGAAAAAUAUAAUUUACCUGCAGGUGGCGGAGCUUCCAACGGCACAUCAACGAAGAAACGGGAACUUUCAUAACGGAAGUUGCACCUAGGCCUCUUUCCCAGGCAAGGACAUUGAGGCAUGGUUCCAUAAGCGUCAGUUAAGCAAUUCUGAGGAGAUAAAUCAGGAGUACACUGCACAAGUGGAUAUAUAGUCUGAUAAUCUGGACCUGUCACAUUACCACUAGCAUAUUUUCGAAAGGAACCACGAUUUACAGCACGGUCUCGUAAAUUUUCCAGUAAUUUACCCAGUUCCUGGUUAAAUUCCUCGGGUUUUGAGGCAUUCACAGUAUUCCGAUGAAAAUAUUGAACAGACAACGAUUGAGUAUUUAUAAUGGAUAGAUUCGAGUAAUGCAACAAACAUUCAUCAUAGCCACCAAUAACUUCUUUUUGGGUAGGACAUAACUGUACAAGUUUUUGAGCAGCGUUAUGGAUACAACUGCGACAUUCUUUUAGCUCCACAUCUCCUCUACAUAGCACAAUACCACUGACCUCGUCGGUGUUUUGGCCAAUGGAAUCAUAGUAGAGAAGAGUGUGUUAAGAUUCUUCUGGUAUGCACUAUUCUCAGUAUAGUUACCAUUCUUACCACAUCUACUGUAUUGUAAAUCAGGCAGCUGCGCUACGAUAUUGAGAACUUGUAUAUGCAAAAACAGAAAGAGUAGCACCUUCGGAAUAGCCAUGGUCAUGGUUGUCUAACUUGCAUUUCCAUUUGUAGAAGAUUAGAUAUUUUGACAUCAAAGGCAAAAAUGAGUUGGCUUUUAUUUUUAUUUUUUUAGCUUAAAAAAACAUGCGUCAGGUCAUUAAACUAGUUGUACCUAAUAUUCUUUCUGUCUAAUAAUAAUUGUAAUUUAGGACAGAAAUUAAGAAAUACUAGUAAAUGAUAGAUAUAAUUUUACCAAAUUAUCCUUAUUAAAUAUAAGUCUUUUAAAUAUUAAAAAAUGAACAUUUAAAAAUAAGAAUAAAAUAGACAUAAAAUAAUAAAUCAUUCAUUAAUUUUAUAAACUGAACCAGAAUUAUCACUUUCUGGCUUAAGUGACCUUUUGAGUGAAUUGACCUAGCAAAAGAUAAAACUUCUGAUGACGUGGUCUAUAUCUUUUUGAUUUGCCAAAUUUUACUCCUUAGAAAAUACUGUAUGAAAUUCGUAGACUCUAAUUUAUGGGGAUAAUGGGAAUUGGGACAGGAGUGGAUACCAAGAAGCCACCAAGGCUGCAAAUUUUGACCUCAUCAACUUUAUAUGAUUACUCCAGAAAAUGAAAUCCAACUUAUUUUUUACAAGUACCAUAUUUUCCUUUUUUUCCCUAGUGUUUUAAAUUUUAAUCCACAAUAAUUUCUGGGAAUUACUCCUACAAAAGAAUUUUAAAAAAUUGCUCAAGUUCGCUGCAGUGGAUCAUUUAUAUUAUAUUUUUCCUGUCUUUAAUUACUUAUUCACUUUUAAAUUGACACACCUAUUAAGAAAAUAAUAAUUGACAUAGUGAAUUUACCAUUUUAUCCCUAUUGAUUAUGAAGUGGAUGAAUUAAAAACUUCAAAUUUUCAAGAAGUAUUACCUUUUUCAAAAUAAUUAAUUAAUGGUAUAAUAGAUAAAAAAUUUUUAUCAUUUCUUGAUUUGUCAAAAUAGACAAGUAAUUAGGAACAACUAUAAAAGAAAAAUUGGACAAGUAAUUAAGGACGAGGGAGUAUGUCCUUGUAUCUUCUCUGUUGCUCUUCCGACCAUACACUUAAAUAUUUGUGAAAUUUCCAACAAAGGGGUGUCAUCAUAAACUUGGGAAGAAAAAAAAUUGAAAGUCCUAAAAAGGGAUUAAAGAAAAAAAUGUCAACUUUUGACUUGGUUUACAUCUCAAAAGUUGACAAAUUGAAUCUCCAAAUUCAACUAGUCUAAUUUAUGGGGUGAUGGGACAGGAGAGUAUAAGAACAAGCUACCGAGGUGGAAACGUUUCUAAUUACAGACUUCUGUCCGUACUAUAAUACUUCCUCCGUCUCAUUUUAUAUGUCAUGCAUUUUUAUAAAUAGUUAGUGUAUAAUAUUUGUCAUUUCAUAAAAUCAAUUCAUAAAUUACCAUAUUGUUCCUUUUUUUAUCCUUGUGAAUUAUUAGUCUUGAAAAUAUACAUUGACCAACUUAGAAAAGUUAAGUAAAUAAUUCAUGUUUAUUGGUUAAAUUAAUUAAUCAAAAUAAAUUAUUCAUAUUCAUUGAUUGAAAACUUGAGUUCCAAAAAAAUUAAAUAAGAAUAGAAAGGUAAAGUUAAAUCAUUUCUUAAUACAAGUGUAAAGUAAAAAAGUAAUAAAAUGGGAUGGAGGGAGUAGUUGGCUACCUUAUUAAAAUAUAUGUUUUGAAUUAUGUGUCUAUUUAUUAAAUUAAAAUAAAAUAAAAUUAAUUCUACCCCUAUUAUUAGUACUUUUUGAAAGCCUAAAUAAAUUUAGAAUUUUUUUAAAAAAUAAACAAGAGUUCAUUAUUUUGUAUCUAUUCUAAUGAUAUAUAUUUAUGUGCCCUAUGUUAUUAAAUAUAUUUUUCAUGAAUUAUCGUAAUGUACAUCAAUAAAAAUAACGAAAAAUUUAGUUAUCUGAUAUGUAAUUUCUCAAACACCACAUAAAAUAAAAGAUAAUCAAUCAAUAUGAAACGGAAUGAGUAAAAUUUUAUAUGAUUCCAGAAUACGAAAAGUUAUUUUGGCUCUUCCAAUAGUAUAAAGUUGUACGUAAUGAGUUCCUAGAAAUAGGGACUUUUUCCUUUCCUCCUCUUUUCUUUUUCCUUUUGCCCGUCCAUAAAGUUGAAAAGACGUGCGAGAUGCCCAUAUGAUGCUACCUUACAAACCAAGCCAGUUAAAAUGAAUAUGGAUGUAUUUAGCUCCAAGUUAAAUACUUUCUGUUCCUAAUUAUUUGUCAAUUUUUAAAUUGACACUUAUUAAGAAAAUAAUAAUUGACAUAGUGAGUUUAUCAGUUUAUCUCUAUUAAUUAUGAAGUGGAUAAAUUAAAAACAUAAGAUUUUCAAGAAGUUCGACCUUUUUCAAAAUAAUUAAUUGAGGGUAUAAUAGGUAAAAAAAAUUGUCCUUUCUUAAAUUGCAAAAUAGAUAGGAAUAACUAUAAAAGGAAAUAUGAACAAGUAAUUAGGAAAAAAAAGAGUAUAACUAUUUUAAAACUAUACAUUGUAUUAAAAUGAGUGUUAUUUUUUUUUACAUGUAAACUUUACAAUAAUUGCUAGCUAGACUACAAGUCCAAGGCACGUACACUAAAAGUGGUACCAACACAUAAAAUAAGUAAACUCGGAGAAAAAGGCUACAAAUAUUUCAUUUGACUUGGUCUACAUCUCAGAAGUUGACAAAUUCAAUCUUCAAAGUUAACAAGUCUUUUAUGGGAGUAAAUAACAUAAAUGGUCCCUAAACUAUUAUAGUAUGUCUAAAAUAGUCCAUUAACUAUACCGUUAACAAAUAUAGUCCUUUAACUAUCUACAAUCUUGUCAAGUUUGGUCUAUAUCUACUUUUUAUAAAUAAAUAAAAACUUGUAAUUCUAAUUUAAUCUCUAUCUCCUGACUUUUUUUUUGCCACUUCUUUGCUCUAUUAUCUCACUAUUUCUUCACUUUAUUUUGUCCAAUUCUUUUUUUUCUACUGUCUUACUGUAAUUGUGUGUUGGUCGUUAUUUUAUUUGAGUUGAAUCAAAUUGCAGCUCUAAAAACACCAAAAAAAUCAGCAUGAAAUUGUACAUAACACAGCACUAGACAACAACAUCAAACCAUUAAAAUAUCAAUACCAAACUACUACAUCAGACUACGAAAAAUUUGCACCAAAAGCACUCGAGCACCAAAUAUCAGCUGCAAACUGCACAAAAUAUAGCACAGAAACUGCACCAAACUACACAAAAACUGCACCAAAAAACAUCACCAAGCUACCCCAAACUGCACAAAAACAACACCAAACUUGACAAGGUUUUCUUUACUAUAGCAGCGUCAAUGAAGAAAAGAAGAGGGAAAAAGAAAAUCAAGAGAGAGUAGCUGUAUUAUGAAGUUUGUUAACGGUGUCUAUAAAAGUAGAUACAGACCAAACUUGACAACAUUAUAGAUAGUUAAGGGACUAUUUCCGUUAAGUGUAUAGUUUAGGGACUAUUUUAGAUCUACUGUAAUAGUUUAAGGACCAUUUAUGUCAUUUUCUUUCUUUUAUGGGGGUGAUGGGACAUGAGAGAAUAAGAACAAGCUACCGAGGUGCAAAAUUUGUACUUGCUUUUACUUGAACGUUUCUAAUUACAUACAUACUUUUCCAACCCUACUAUAAUAUAUAGUUGGCUAUCUUAAUAAAAUUAUAUGUUUCGAAUCAUUUGUCUACUUAUUAAAUUGAAUUUAAAAAAUUCAUUUAACUCCUAUUAUGAAUACUUUUUGAAUAUCUUAAUGUACAUCAGAAUGAAUUAGAGAAAUUAAUUAUUUGAUAUAUAAUUUCUUAAACAUCAUAUAAAAUGAAAGAUAAUCAAUUAAUAUGAAACAAAACAAGUAACAUUUUAUAUGAUUUUAGUAAACGAAAAGUUAUUUGGCUCUUCAAAUAGUAUAAAGUGGUAUGGAAGGAGUUCCUAGAAAUUGAGACCUUUUCCUUUCCUCUUGUUUUCUUAGUUAAAUAACUACUCAUUUUAAAACUAUGCAUUGUAUUAAAAAGAGUGUUACUAUUACAUAUAAACUUUAUAAUAAUUAUUGUUAGCUAGACUACACGUACACUAAAAGUGGUACCAACACAUAAAAUAAGUAAACUCAGAGAAAAAGGUUAUCAUACUAAGGAUGUUAACGAGGAUAUAACUCAGAUAUGGAUGCCUCAUUUCGUGAUGAACCAAUAGAUUUACUUUUGGCUAGUUCACUAGAGUCUGUCAUUCUUGUGUUGUAUUCUUUAAUAAGCGACGUCUCUGCGGUAAUAUUACUGUGCAUAUAGAAUGCUGGCCCUGAAGGCAUUGGAAGACUCAACGAAAAGCUACUGAGCAUGAGAACAACAGCUGCCAUGGUUGGUCUAUCAGCCACACUUUCUUGAACACACAAUAAAGCUAUGUGAAUGCUUCUCAUUAUGUCACGAAUCAGUCCUGUGCUUUCCUUCAGCAUUGGAUCUACAAAAUCUAUAGUUGUUCCAUUACGCCAGCUUAACCAAGCCUGUAUGUGAAUGUGAUAGUUCAAUUAUCAGAAUAAGAUGAAAUUCUCUGACCAUUUCACAAAAUUAAUACUUGAUUGAUUGGCCAGGUUACUUACAAAACUCAAAAGGUCUUCCACCGAUUCUCCAUUUCUGAAACAAGUGUUUUUUUGGCCACUUAAAAUUUCUAAGACUAGUACUCCAAAGCUAAAAACAUCUGACUUUACGGAAAAUUGCCCGUGCAUUGCAUACUCUGGUGCCAUAUAUCCACUGUGAAACAAAAACAACAAUUACGUAACAUUCCGCAACUUAUAUAACAUUGCAUAUUUAGUAGUCCAAACAGUGGGAUCAGCAAAACUAAAUAGCUGUUAAAACAGGGAACUACUUGAUGUUAAAAGUCAGAACUACAUGUUUCAUUAAUGAUCUGGGACAUUUUCUCAAGGAAGUCGAAAGCACAAAUUGGGUUGUUAUGUCUUACUGCAAUGUGAAGACAACAUCUUAGACCACUGAUCUAUUCUUGGCUGAGCAAAUAACAAGUUUUGAUGAGUUAAGACCAAUAUCUUGUAUUUUGCUACCGCGAGAUCAUAUCUGAUAACCUCUUUGAACAAUGAGAGUUCAUAUGCAGAAAAGAAGAAGAUAUUUUUGUUCUAAACAAAAUCAAAUUUAGCUUAUUCAUUUCCAGAACUCUGUUUUGGCCGAAGAUCCUGAACUUCAUUUUAAUCAUUAGAGAUUGCAACUUUGGUAGUGACCAAAUUGAGAACAAAACUCUAGGUAUAUAACCAUCAUCUUGAAUAAUACUGAGUUUGUACACCACGAAAGUCCUAGUUCAACAAAAUUGAGGUAAGCAUUCCUAAAGAUAGUACAAUGAUGAGCAAAAUUCAUAUUGAAAAUUCUAAUAACAAUUCAAAGAAAGAUUUUCUUUUGUCUCGAGGCAGCUUUUAUUCUAGCUAAGUUGUUAAAUAAUCCUUCCUAGCAAAAUGCUAAUAACAGUCUAUCCAACGAGAGAGGUAAAACUUACUAGGUCCCAACAAUUCUGUUUGUGCUGCCUUGAGUUUCAUCUAAUUCAAAUAGCCUUGCCAUGCCAAAAUCUGAGAUUUUAGGAUUCAUUUCUGUAUCUAGUAGAACAUUACUAGCUUUGAGAUCACGGUGAAUGAUCCGAAGCCUAGAAUCCUCAUGAAGAUAAAGAAUUCCCUUAGCAAUGCCUCCUAUUAUUUUGGAUCGCCUUUCCCAAUCCAAUUGCCUACGUUUAACUGAAUCUGCGAACAAGAUGAAGAAUAUGAAAAUAAAAUAAAAUUCUAAGUCACUUAAAAUGUUACUACAGGCAACUGCUCAUUAUAAGUGCAAUUAGUUCUAUGGUAUAUAAGGCAGACAACCAGACAAGAUAUCGAAUUACAUUGAUAGAAUAACUUUUGUUAGGGGUGUACAUGGUCGGGUUGGUUCGGGUUUUUUAAAUAUCAAACCAAAUCAUUUGUGUCGGAUUUUUGAAUUUAUAAACCAAACCAAACCAAUAAAACUCGGGCUUUUCAACCUCAGAUUUUUUCAGAUUUUUUUGGGUUUUUUGGAUUUUCGGGUUUUUCUAGUAAAGUAUUCAUACAAACAUAUAAUUUACUUGUACUUCAAAUAUUUCUUUAGUCCUACCAAAAUACAACUAUCUAAGGUGUUUCUUAAGAAAAUAACACAAAAUAUGAUAUGAUUAAUGACAUUAAAAUAUCCAACAAAAAAAUAAUAAUGAAAUCGCGUAAAACAAAUAUUGCAAAUUAAUAAGUAAUAAUGAAAAUAAUCAUAAUUUAAAAGUACUAAAUCAUGCUAAAAUAAGUUUAAUAAGUAUUAGUUACAUGACUAAGUAUUAAAGGAAAUUAAAAAUUAGAUUAUGUACUUUAAUUGUCUAAACCUUUGUAAAACUAAAGAACAAAUAUUCAAUAUUAUUGUCAUUCUUAGUGUUGAAUUGAUUUUCUUUUUGCAUUAGUAUUAAUUCGAUUUUGAUUUAAACUUUAUUAUAAUUACCAACAUCUAUGAACUAUAAUCUUUAUGAACUAUUAAGAAUUCUAAGUUUCAAACAUGAAAUAAUAUAUUAAAAGAUAAAAACUAUGAAAAAAGUAUAACAAAAUAUUUAAAAAUUAUAUCAAAGUAAAUAUUUUUACGUAUAAAAUAAAAUUUUAAAAUUAAUAUAUAUAAUGUCGGGUUGGUUUUUUUUUAGUUAAAACCAAACCAACCCAAAUAUAGUCGGAUUUUUUAUUUCAAUACCAAAUCAAGUCAAACCAAACCACUAGUCGGAUUUUUUUUUCGAUUUGACUCGUUUUACAGUUUGGUUCGGUUUUCGAUUCAAUUUUGUACACCCCUACUUUUGUAUAUAAGUUAAAUUCAUAACUUAUUGAUGCUCAAGCUCAAUAUUGAUAAAAAGUCAAGCAGUACAUACCAAAUAAGAAGUGGUCAAGACUUGCGUUGGGAACAAACUCAUAGACAAGAAGUCGCUCUGUUCCGUCUAGGCAAAAUCCCAGCAACCUAACCAAAUUCCUGUGUUGAAGCCUGGCAACCAACAAGACCUCAUUUUUGAAUUCUAGAUCACCUUGGCCUGAAUCUGCUGAUAACCUUUUCACUGCUACUUCUUGUCCAUUUUGAAGCUUACCCUAAAAUAUAAAUGAAAACAAAUUGAAAAAAUAUGAACUAAAGCAAUGAAAUUAUAACAAGUACUCAUAUUCAGUGGAAAGAAUAUUUGUACAAUAGAAGUUAAAAUCAUGCUACAAUAUGUAAGUUUAAUUACCUUGUACACAGGACCAAAUCCGCCUUCUCCGAGCUUAUUAGCAUCUGAGAAGUCAUCUGUUGCUGCUCUAAUUGCCGAAAAUCAUAUUGAAAAGAUUCUGCAAUACUAGUAUCAUCUACAGAUGUACCUUCACGAACAUAGUAGUAAUAGCUUACAACAAAUUAGUGAAACAUGGUCUUAAUAAUUCAACUUUCCUGAAUUAUUGUUUGUUUAUAGUUUACGCUUACUCUGAAUUUCGUUCACCAGCUUCCUCUUGCGCCUCCUUAUCAUGAUGACAGCAAUACAAAUCAUAAGAAUAACAAUUGUAACAGUUGACACAACGAUAAUGAUAAUUGUUCGUGUUGUUUUAUCAUCCUUCCCUGUUGGAGGUGUUUUAUUUUCCGUCCCUGUUGGAACUGUUUUAUUAUCAUUUCCUACAAAAAAAAAAAAAAAAAGUUUCAAGUUAGUACAAUAUCUUCUCAUUCCCAAUUCACUUGUCUUACUUUGCUUUUAAGAAUAACUAAGAAACUUUGCGUAUUACCUAUUGAAUAUCACAAAUACAAUUGGUCCUAUAAUAUAGUAUGUUCUUCCAGCCUUAACUCAUGUCAAAGACUUGUGGUUGUGUUGAAUUGUAUGAUCUAUCUCAUCUAAAGUCUUAAGUUGUUAUACAUAGUACACUUGUCUUUCGCCCCAUGAAUUGGUUAUUCCUAAACGAGUCAUGAAGGGUAUAACGAAUAUACCUUGUCUCCACAUUGGAUCAAGAACAGGAUCUGACUUGUUUGGCUUUGUGCCUAGACAGUUUGCAUUUCGUAAAACUAAAAAAGACUAGGACACCCCCUUCUUUUGAUUUACGUUCCAUCAGUCUCAUAGAAUGGGGUAGGUAGGAGAUAAUCAGUGAUCGGAAGGCGUUCAUUUCAAUCUCUAUAAACAGUGACAAUUUCUCAAUCUAUUUGAUUGAAUUGAUAGAUACGAAACCUCCCCAUUCUUAGGAUUUUAUCAAUCAGAUGAAAAAAAAAAAAAGAUUUAUACUUGACGUCUUCAACACGCCACCUCAAGUGCGAGCCUGAUUCUCUUUUAUGAGUCAAGCAAACAGUAAAUCUUCUUGAUAGAUGGUGACAAAGAGAUUUGAAUGAAGAACCAUAUUGAAUUGUGUUACUAUAUAUCUCAUCUAAAAACUUAAAACUAUUUGAUUUUUAUUUAAUUAAUUAUGUCUUCAACAGUCUCAAUCAAAAUUGGAUAUUGAUAAAAUUGGGAUUAGCAAAAGGAACAAUAAAAACUGUGUUCACCUGCAGGUGGCGGAGCUUCCAACGGCACAUCCACGAAGAAACGGGAAAUUUCAUAACGGAAGUUGCACCUAAUCCCUAUGAUUCUUCCACCGGUCUUUCCCAGGCAGGGACAUUGAGGCAAGGUUCCAUAAGCGUCAGUUAAGCAAUUGAAGCAACUCUGACGAGAUAAAUCAGGAGUACACUGCACAAGUGCAUAUAUAGACUGAGAAUCUGGACCUGUCGCAUUACCACUAGCAUAUUUUUGAAGAGGACCACCCUGUGCAGCACGGUCUCGUAAAUUUUCCAAUAAUUUUCUUAGCUCCUGGUUAAAUUCCUCGGGUUUUGAAGCAUUCGCAGGAUUCCAAAGAAAUAAUUGAAUAGACAACGAUGGAGUAUCUAUAAUGGAUUGAUUCGAAUACUGUAACAUACAUUCAUCAUAGCCACCGAAAACUUCUUUUUGGUUAGGACAUAACUGUGCAAUCUUUUGAACAGCAUUAUCAACACAAACGCGACAAUCAUCUAGCUCCACAUCUCCUCUACAUAACACAAUAACGCUGGCUCUAUCAGAGUUUUGGCCAAUAGAAGCAUUGUAGAAACCGUAGUUAUCUAUUUUUGAGGAAAGGGAAGUGAGGAGUGUGUUUAGAUUGUUCUUGUAGGUACUAUUCUCAGUAUAGUUACCAUUCUUACCACAUAUACCGAAUCGUAAAUCAGGCAGCUGCGCUACAAUAUUGAGAACAUGUAAAUGCAAAAAUAGAAAGAAUAACCACUUUUGAAUAGCCAUGGCUAUGUCUGUUUAAGUUACAAGCAAGUUUUGAUAUUAGUGCAGAAUAUGUAAAAUAGAACCUAGAGCAGGAAGAGCUUGUAAAAAGAGUUGGAGAUAGCGUAUUGACCGGGGUGUAGCGAACUUCAUUUGUCUUGGCAGUACAAUUUCUGACAUAUUAGUUAAGCAAGAAAAGGACAUUGAUAUUUGAAGGUUAGCUGCAAAACUAAC
rnacentral:lncRNA from 1 species